rnacentral:rRNA from 1 species
CCUACGGGGGGCAGCAGUGAGGAAUAUUGGUCAAUGGACGAGAGUCUGAACCAGCCAAGUAGCGUGAAGGAUGACUGCCCUAUGGGUUGUAAACUUCUUUUAUAUGGGAAUAAAAUGUUCCACGUGUGGGAUUUUGUAUGUACCAUAUGAAUAAGGAUCGGCUAACUCCGUGCCAGCAGCCGCGGUAAUACGGAGGAUCCGAGCGUUAUCCGGAUUUAUUGGGUUUAAAGGGAGCGUAGGUGGAUUGUUAAGUCAGUUGUGAAAGUUUGCGGCUCAACCGUAAAAUUGCAGUUGAAACUGGCAGUCUUGAGUACAGUAGAGGUGGGCGGAAUUCGCGGUGUAGCGGUGAAAUGCUUAGAUAUCACGAAGAACUCCGAUUGCGAAGGCAGUUCACUGGACUGCAACUGACACUGAGGCUCGAAAGUGUGGGUAUCAAACAGGAUUAGAUACCCCUGUAGUC